rnacentral:rRNA from 1 species
GUGCCAGCAGCCGCGGUAAUACGGAAGGUCCGGGCGUUAUCCGGAUUUAUUGGGUUUAAAGGGAGCGCAGGCGGAAGGUUAAGCGUGACGUGAAAUGUACCGGCUCAACCGGUGAUGUGCGUCGCGAACUGGCUUUCUUGAGUGAGUACGACGCUGGCGGAAUUCGUGGUGUAGCGGUGAAAUGCUUAGAUAUCACGAAGAACUCCGAUUGCGAAGGCAGCCGGCGAGUCCUCAACUGACGCUAAUGCUCGAAAGUGCGGGUAUCGAACAGGAUUAGAUACCCUGGUAGUCCGCACGGUAAACGAUGGAUGCCCGCUGUUGGCGAUAUAUUGUCAGCGGCCAAGCGAAAGCGUUAAGCAUCCCACCUGGGGAGUACGCCGGCAACGGUGAAACUCAAAGGAAUUGACGGGGGCCCGCACAAGCGGAGGAACAUGUGGUUUAAUUCGAUGAUACGCGAGGAACCUUACCCGGGCUUGAACUGCAGCAGGAGGAUACAGAGAUGUUGACGCCCUUCGGGGCUGCUGUGGAGGUGCUGCAUGGUUGUCGUCAGCUCGUGCCGUGAGGUGUCGGCUUAAGUGCCAUAACGAGCGCAACCCCUUCCGUCAGUUGCCAUCACUUUGGGUGGGCACUCUGGCGGUACUGCCACCGUAAGGUGUGAGGAAGGUGGGGAUGACGUCAAAUCAGCACGGCCCUUACGUCCGGGGCUACACACGUGUUACAAUGGGUGGUACAGAGAGUCAACCGCCGGCAACGUCGGUUUAAUCAAUAAAGCCAUCCUCAGUUCGGAUUGGGGUCUGCAACCCGACCCCAUGAAGCUGGAUUCGCUAGUAAUCGCGCAUCAGCCAUGGCGCGGUGAAUACGUUCCCGGGCCUUGUACACACCGCCCGU